rnacentral:rRNA from 1 species
AUUGAACGCUAGCGGGAGGCCUUACACAUGCAAGUCGUACGGAGUGGCGGACGGGUGAGUAAUCUAGCGGAAAGUGACCGGUCGCGGGGGAUAACUACUCGAAAGUGUAGCUAAUACCGCAUACCAUUGGAGCGGCCGAGUUGGUAUUAGCUAGUGGGGGGGGUAACGGCUCACCAAGGCAACGAUCUCUAGCUGGUUUGAGAGGAUGACCAGCCACACAGGGACUAAGACACGGUCCAGACGCCUACGGGAGGCAGGAGUGGGGAAUUUUGUACAAUGGGGACAAGCCUGAUACAGCCAUGCCGCGUGUAUGAGGAAGGCCUUCGGGUUGUAAAGUACUUUCAGCAGGGAAGCGUUAACUGCAGAAUAAGCACCGACUAACUACGAGCCAGCAGCCGCGGUAAUAC